CUUAUCCACAGGGGAUAUGUUCCAAGACCCCCAGUGGAUGCCUGAAACCAUAUAGUACCGAACUCUAUUUAUAAAUACUGUUUUUUCAUAUACAUACAUACCUAUGGUAAAGUUUAAUUUAUCAGUUAGACACAGCAAGAGAUUAACAACAAUAAAUAAUAAUAAAACAGAACAGUUAAUAUGGGGCCGGCCCUGUGGCCAAGUGGUUAAGUUCACGUGCUCCACUUGGGCGGUCCCGGGUUUCGCCGGUUCGGAUCCUGGGCGGGGACCUAGAAUGGUUCAUCACACCAUGCUGAGGUGGCAUCCCGCAUGCCACAACUAGAAGGACCUACAACUAGACCACACAACUAUGCACUGGGCGGGGGGCUUUGGGGAAAAGAAGAAAAAGAAAUAGAACAGUGAUAAGAAUAUACUGUAAUCAAAGUUACUGUAGAUCUCAGCAACCUUACCAUACAAUCUUCUUCUUUCCUUAAGUCAAGAACUUUCACCUUUUCACUUAAAGGAAGCACUUUAUGGCUUCUCUUUGGCAUAUCCGAAUUGCCAGCAUCACUACUCUUGCACUCUGGGACCAUUAUUAAAUAAAGUAAGCGUUACUUGAACACCAGCACUGCCACAUCCCAACAGUGAGUCUGGUAACCCAGAUGGCUAAGUGACUAAAGGGCGCCGCACAGAGUGUGGAUCCGCUGGACAAAGGGAUGAUUCGUGUUCCGGGUUGGACAGAGCAGGACGGUGAGAUACUUCAUCACACUACUCAGAACAGCGUGCAAUUUAAAACUUAUGAACUGUUUACUUCUGGAAUUUUCCAUUUAAUACUUUUGGACUGCAGAUGACUGUGGGUAGCCAAAACCGGGGAAAGUGAAAACGCAGAUAAGGGGAGACUACUGCAUAACUAAGUACAGCACCUCUGUGAGCCUAAGUUCCUUCUAUGUAAAAUGGGGACGCUUCGUAAGUGAAACUUAAAUAAGAAAAUUGAUAUUGCCUAGGGCCUGAUACAUUCUAAGUGCUCAUAAAAUGUCUGGAAUUAAUUCACAAUGCUAUGUCCCUCUUUCAUCAUACCCAGCCAAGGUCUCUCUCAUUUUUUCUGGAUAAACACUUUGGCAAAAUGGUUCUUUCCUCCCAGCCUUUUCGGGUCUGAGACACCCCUACCAAAACCGGAGUCUACUCAACAGGCCCAAAAGAGCCGAGAGGGAACGGAUAAGGCUUACACUGCAGCUGUCCAUCUCCUGCUGGGGCCCUGUUUCCAGGCAGCAGGGACCGCCCCUCAGCCAGCUGUGUGGACUUUUCAUCACUGGCUAUUUCAGGACAGAGUCCAAGAUAAGCACUUCUCUGGGGCUUCCUUUCAGACAAAGCUCUCCGGAGACUUGAAGCUCAUUAGCCUGACCUUUGGUCUCUGGAGAACAUGAGGAAAUAUCCUACUCUGAGAGAAUGGAAACACCAAGCGCCCAAGGGGCAGGCCUGAGCAACAAGACACAGAGCUAGAAAAGGAGGCAAAGUAAGAGAGUGCCAGAGCAUUAAUAAUUAUAAUAACAGUAAUCUCUCUCGCUCAUGGAGGCUUUACAGUUUAUAAAGCACUGUCACACAUAUUAGCUUAUGGGCUCCACAACACAUCUAAGACUGACAGAGUAACUGUCAUCUCCAUUUUGUAGAUGAAGAGAGCGAGUCCCAGAGAGGUUGUAUGAUUCGUCCAAGGUCACACAGCCAGAGAGCUGCAGAGCUGGACUGAAGCCCAGGUCUGCUGAUUUCGAGUCCUGGGCUCCUCCCCAGAUUGAGAAGAAGAAAUGGCGAUUCUUCUUUACUAGCAUGAAAAACAGGAAAGUGAAGAGACUCACUGGCUGAGAACAGGGAGGAGCCUGAGAGAUCACUGAUCCUGCCUAAACCCGGACGAGCCUCUCCACGCAUCCUCGCUUUACUGGCCCUAUGCUGGUUCUUGAGGACACACUGAUGAGAAAACGGGCUUGGAGAGGUAAUAGCAGGUGGCGUUGGUACAUGCCUCAUUUCCCCAGUCCCUGCUCCGAGCUGCCUUGCCAGCGUGGUGGUUUCCAG
ensembl:lncRNA